AUUCUCCGAUUUGCGAUAAGACUUUAGAAUAUAUUUUUUUCUUUUUCCCUUUCUUCCUCUUCCUCUUCUCUUUCUUUCGCGAUAUUCGUGAACCACAAAACGAAGAGAAUUAUUAUUUUUUUUUUUUUUUACAAAAUCGGAACCUGGCAAUCGGAGCUUUUGAUUAACCAAACUCCAAUCUCCAAUCGAAGCUUUUGAUUAACCAAUCGGAAUGACAAAUCAAUGCUUUUCUGAUGGUAAAUUCCUCUCUCUCUCUCAUUUUAUGAAUUCUUGUUUAGUGAGGGAUUAGAAAUUAGGGUUGUUUGAUUUUCGAAAAUUAGUGUUCUUCAAAAUAUGUUUCUGUCUGUGUUUCUAGGCAUGAUUGUAAUUAGGGUUAACGAAAUUAGCAAUGAAUGAAGAUGAUUUUAGGUAUAGAUUGUUUGUUUUCAUCGGUCUUGUCCGUUGUUUGAUUUAUACAUUGUGUCUGAGUGUGCCUAUUUUAAUAUUUUCGUUUCGUUAUCUUCCCUCUCAUUUGUGUAAAGCUAAUUCUGUUCUCCUUUUAAUUCCCCAUGGGAGACAAAAAGUGAAUUUCCUGCGGUUUUAAGCUGGAAAAAUAUAGCUAAGCCAAUGAUGAAUCACACUAUAUGGAAGCGACUGAUGGAUCAUUCAUAGAAGAGAAAGAGAGUGCUAUGGUGUGGCAUCUCCAUGUGUCAGUUUUUUUAUUGGGUGGGGUUUACUUUGCUGAGAAUUUCAACCCGGAGUUGAGAAAAAACUGGAAGAGCUUCUCAAUUAAAAACUACUUUGACCAGCACGGGGUCUUUGUAUCGGUGAUGACCGGUUCAAUGCUUCUCUCGUCGAGGUCAUAAUAUCUUCAACCAUCAUCUAAGAACUGCGUUUCUAUGUCAUCGCUUUUUUAGUUAUGUUUUGAGAUCAAAACCAGAUGGAAGAAGUAGCGAAGAGUUUCCAUGUCAUCGCAUCAAAUUAUUUCAGCAUUACAAGAUAACUAGCCAAGAACUCGGAGUUUCCUCUCUUGGAGAUGCAAUUGUUUGUCGGAUCGCUGCACGCAACACAUUGUAAAUGAAGAGAUAUAUGGAGUGGCUUGGAACCAAGUGAACUCUCUCUGUUCCUUAGUGGCCUACGUCCACAAUACAUGGUUAAGGGUUUCUCAGAAGCUUCACACAACAAGUCAAGUGGUCGUAGGUGCAAUCGUGGGUUCUGUUUACUCCACCUUAUGGUAUGUAACUUGGAAUUCACUUGUUCUUGAAGCCUUUACCUCAUCAUUCUCAAUACAAGUAGCUGUCUUUCUGGUUGCUGCUAUGUCUGCUUUAGGUUUUGCAGUAUAUGUGCUACUUAACUGGUUUAAAGAUGACAGAUGAGAGACUGAUAAUUAUCAGUACUUAGAAUGUAUAAGGAAUGCAUUUGUUUCUUCUUAUAAUUGAAUGGAGGUGAGGUUUGGGUCCAAAUUGAAUGGACUGGUGUUUGCUUAUAGUCCCUCAGCCAUCUACCUUGGUGACCUGUGAAAUCACACACACGGUUCUGAUCAUUUUAGUUUGCCUUCCAUUAUAUUGUUGGAAGAAGGAAGAAGAUUAUGAACGAUGAAGAGAUGAUGGUGGCAAGACAGAGCCAAGAGUUUGGCCCGAGGAUUGGUGAGAUGGGUUUUCUGAUAGGUUUGGGUUCAAGCGUAGGGUUUUGAUGGUAUUCCUAUUGUGAUGAGUUGAUUCUCUCGCUGAUAUUUCCUUCUCUCGGGUGACGAAGGCUUUGAUCUGGAUGUCUACAAACGAGGUGUUGAAGAAGGACAAAAAACAGAGGAAUCAUGAUCAGUAGUUAAACUCACUAGGGUUUUUGGAGAAAUUGAGCUCAACGGCGUCACAGGGAAGAACACGAGCAGAGACUAGCUUGACAUUGUUGCGCGACUGGAGAGAUCUCAAAAAACGAUCGACGAUGAAGAUGUAGAAACCGGGAAAAGGGAUCAGCGCAUGAGAGAUGCCGACGUGGAAGACGUAGAAGAGCAUGAAGACGAUGUAGAGAUAAUGAGUAUAGAAGAAGACUUCGAAGAAUCUCCUCCUUAUGUUCGGAUACGUGGUUACCCACAUCAUAAGUCCAGCCACCAGAGAUAUCGCUCCGGCUAAAUUCGAGACACCGGUACUGUCCCACUCCAACAUCUAUUUCCACGAACGUUUAAGGGCAUUUAAUUAAUGUAACAUAUAUAAUAGAACAAUAUCAAUGAUGAAUAUUGAAUAAUGUACCAAUAAGAUACUAACUAACCUUGGAGAUUUGAUUUCUGGAUA